AACGAACGCUGGCGGCAGGCUUAACACAUGCAAGUCGAACGCCCCGCAAGGGGAGUGGCGCACGGGUGAGUAACGCGUGGGAACCUGCCCAGCAGUAUGGGACAACCGCGGGAAACUACGGCUAAUACCGUAUACGCCCGUCUUUGGGAGACCAGGGGCGGGGAAAGAUUGAUCGCUGUUGGAGGGGCCCGCGUCGGGUUAGGUAGUUGGUGGGGUAAAGGCCUACCAAGCCUGCGAUCCGUAGCUGGUCUGAGAGGAUGAUCAGCCACACUGGGACUGGGACACGGCCCAGACUCCUACGGGAGGCAGCAGUGGGGAAUAUUGGACAAUGGGCGCAAGCCUGAUCCAGCAAUGCCGCGUGAGUGAUGAAGGCCUUAGGGUUGUAAAGCUCUUUCACACGCGACGAUGAUGACGGUAGCGUGAGAAGAAGCCCCGGCUAACUCCGUGCCAGCCGCCGCAGUAAGAC
rnacentral:rRNA from 1 species